rnacentral:rRNA from 1 species
GACGAACGCUGGCGGCGUACCUAAUACAUGCAAGUUGAGCGCUGAAGGUUGGUACUUGUACCAACUGGAUGAGCAGCGAACGGGUGAGUAACGCGUGGGGAAUCUGCCUUUGAGCGGGGGACAACAUUUGGAAACGAAUGCUAAUACCGCAUAAAAACUUUAAACACAAGUUUUAAGUUUGAAAGAUGCAAUUGCAUCACUCAAAGAUGAUCCCGCGUUGUAUUAGCUAGUUGGUGAGGUAAAGGCUCACCAAGGCGAUGAUACAUAGCCGACCUGAGAGGGUGAUCGGCCACAUUGGGACUGAGACACGGCCCAAACUCCUACGGGAGGCAGCAGUAGGGAAUCUUCGGCAAUGGACGAAAGUCUGACCGAGCAACGCCGCGUGAGUGAAGAAGGUUUUCGGAUCGUAAAACUCUGUUGGUAGAGAAGAACGUUGGUGAGAGUGGAAAGCUCAUCAAGUGACGGUAACUACCCAGAAAGGGACGGCUAACUACGUG